AGCUGCCUGGAAGCAUGUCUUCCACUAGCAGCCUUCAGUUGAAGAUGUAGAACUCUCAGCUCCUCCUGCACCAUAUCUGCCUGGAUGCUGCCAUGCUCCUGCCUUGAUGAUAAUGGACGGAACCUCUCCUAAAUGACAGAUCGGGGCAUAGACACAAAGAGGAGGAUACAUGAUCUACAGCUCAAUGAGACAUGCUCAGCAGAUACAACCUAUGGAUACCUUCAUAUUUGGCUUCCAGGAUCCAGACGCUGAAGAGGUUCAGCAAGGAAGAGCCACCCAAGCCUGGGUUCAAUCCCUGAAACUCACAACAAAUCUCCACACAGUGGCACGUCUGUAUCCUGCCAGAAUGUAGUUGCAGUGAGAAGACAGGAGCGUGAGCCUCGCAGGCAGGGCAGCAGCUGAAGACACUGCCUGCCUACAUACAAGGAAGAGAGAAACCGUGGUGAAUGGCGGCUUUUGUGAUAUUCUUCCCACCAAGACAAGCGUCUCAUAAAAGACUGGAGAGAAGACUCCUGGAAUCACCCGCCAGUGCCAUGCCAGUCCUCAUUGUUCUAAGAAAGGACCAGUGGAGGAGGUAAACCAUGAGAAUCACAUUCUAGGAAGCCAUUUUCAUCCACAGCACCAAAUGUCCGCUCACCAAACAUCUAUAUAUAUAAUCUUCUCGCUGAAUCAAUGUCAUGGUGAGAGGCAGGAAGGUUUUAGGGACUCAAAAGGAGGGAAACAACCUGAUAUGUAAAAACUCAAAACAUAUAAUAAAGUUCCUGAUCAGGUUCUAUUAGCAAUGAAAUAAUAAAGGACAUCUGGGGACUGUGAAGGGUUAUAGACCUGACAGGGCUGAAGAUGUCAAGAAUGUGUUCAUUUUGAUAGUUAAGAACGGAAUUGUUAAGGUAAGCAAAUGUCCUUUUAAAGGGAUGAAAAAUAACUCAUCAUCCAGGAAUGAAAUGCUAUAUAAUAUUCCUUUUAAUAUAUCAGUAAAAAAGUGCUUGUUGGGAGAUAGCUCAGUAGUUAAGAGCACUGACUGUUCUUCCAGAGAUCCUGAGCUCAAUUCCCAGCAACCACAUGGUGGCUCACAACCAUCUGUAAUGUGAUCCAAUGCCCUCCUCUGAUGUGUCUGAAGACAGCUACAGUGUACACAUAUACAUUAAAUAAAUAUUUUUAAAGGAAAAGAAAGGAAACCAGUUAUCCAUUACAUGGUCAGCUGUGAAGCUCACCACGCACCUAUUGCCCUUCCUGGUCCUGCAUGAGCAUCCACAGGAGGCACUUGGUCCAUUUGCUGUUGCUCUUGACCAAGCCUAUAUCUAUGGAAAUUGACACAGGACCUCCUGGGAAUAAAUGUGGUCAGAAAAUAGGGAAUCAGGGAGCAGGGGCAAAAGAAUAUCCUAGCUUUCUGUCCGGUUGCUGAGAUGAAAUGUUCUGAUGAGAAGCACACAUGGAGAUAAAGGUUUAUUUCAGAGCACAGUUCAGAGGUUCAGUCAAUCAUUGCAGGGAAGUCAAGGCAGGAACCUGAUGCAGCUGGUUACAUGCAGUCCAGAGCACAGAGAGAAUGCACACCUGCCGGCCAGUGCUCAGCUCACCUCCAUUCUCCUGCCACCCAGGUCCCAGGCCCAAGGAACAGUGCUGCCUGCAGUGGGCUGAGUCUCUACUCGUGGAUUAACGUAAGGAAAACAAUGCCCACAAGCCACACGACUAGACUAUUCCUCAUUUUCUAGAUGAUUCCAAAUGAUUGUAGAUUUUGUCAAGUUAGCAGUCAAAACUAACCACCCCACACAGGAUGAGAUAAAAACACAAUAUACGAGGCCCCACAAAAUAACAAGCACUAAACAAGGUAGAAGAAGAUGCUAGAGACAACCUGGAAGGAAAAUUAAGUUAGGGUGAAGCACAGAGCAACAGUUCUCAGUCUCACAGCAUAGGUCAGUUACAGAAAUGUAUUUGAAAGAUCAAGGGAACAAAGUCCUCUGGAUCAGGGCUUGUCAACCUGUGGGCAGUGAUCCCCUUAGGGGUCACAUAUCAGAUACUUACAUUGAGAUUCACAACAGUAGCAAAAAUACAGUUAUGAGGUACUAACAAAAUAAUUUUAUGCUUGUGGGUUGCCAGGAAUGAGGAACUGUAUUAAAGGGUCACAGCAUUAGGAAGGGAAGAUAAAGAAUAGAAAGAACUCAUCAAAUUCUCAAAUGAGUCAUGAGUUUAACACUAACGGCAGAGGACGUCACGUGAGGGAGACUUGAAAUGGCUGUGUGAGCAGCGCUCUUCCCUGCUGGAUCGCUCUCCAUUCCCAGGCUCGACCAUUGUUAAGAUGGUUUCACAGUUUAAUGUCCACCUUCACAUCAUGCACUUAGUCACUUACUCAUUAACAGAGAAAGCAGCCACCUUUGACCACACAAACUACAGGAAAGAGGUUGUGGAGGGUCAUGUCAUCCACACCAGAUAUCUCUGUCUCUGUCUCUCUCUGUCUCUUUCUCUGAGUCUUUCAAGAUUUUUCCUCACAUUACCUUGGUAUUUUGAUCUUUAUCCAGAUGCAGAAGCUCCAGCACCUCAUCAAUCCGUCUUCUUUUUUCA